rnacentral:misc_RNA from 1 species
AUUAUAGUUGGGCUUUCUGAUGGAUCUCUGUAUAAUAUAUCCUGGAAGGGAGAGUUUUGUGGGGCCUUGGAUGCCUUUGAUCUUGAUGUUCAGUGUCGUGAUGGCAGUGGGGUUCCUAAACUAGCAAAUGCUUUGGAAAAUGGUCUUGCUUCUGGCGGGAGUCUAUCUUUUUCUAAAUGCAGUCAUCAUUUGUCGAAAAACUCUGCUGUGAUCCAUUUGGAGUUCUCCUUACCCUUAAGGUUGCUUGUUGUGCUAUUUUCUGAUGGACAAUUGGUCUUAUGUUCUGUGAGCAAAAAAGGUCUGAAGCAAAUGGAAUCUAUCAAAGCUGAAAAGAAACUGGGCUCUGGUGAUGCUGUAUGUGCUGCAGUUGCUUCAGAUCAACAACUCCUUGCUGUUGGUACCAGAAGAGGUGUUGUUGAGCUGUAUGACAUUGCAGAAUCUGCUUCGCUUCUGCGUUCUGUUUCUCUGUAUGAUUGGGGAUAUUCAGUGGAGGACACUGGUGCUGUCAGUUUUGUUGCAUGGACACCUGAUAAUUCAGCUUUUGCAGUUGGGUGGAAGUUAAGAGGGCUAACAGUUUGGUCUGUUUCUGGUUGCCGCUUGAUGUCCACCAUUCGUCAAAUUGGCUUAAGUUCUGCAUCUUCUCCAGUGGUCAAACGAAAUCAGGAAUGUAAAUAUGAACCUAUGAUGAACGGUACCUCAUUGAUGAACUGGGAUGAAUAUGGAUACAGGCUUUAUGCUGUUGAGGAAGGAUCUUCAGAGAGAAUAAUUGCAUUCUCUUUUGGAAAGUGUUG